rnacentral:rRNA from 1 species
CAGUCGCCGCGGGAAUACAGAGGGUGCGAGCGUUAAUCGGAUUUACUGGGCGUAAAGCGUGCGUAGGCGGCUUUUUAAGUCGGAUGUGAAAUCCCUGAGCUUAACUUAGGAAUUGCAUUCAAUACUGGGAAGCUAGAGUAUGGGAGAGGAUGGUAGAAUUCCAGGUGUAGCGGUGAAAUGCGUAGAGAUCUGGAGGAAUACCGAUGGCGAAGGCAGCCAUCUGGCCUAAUACUGACGCUGAGGUACGAAAGCAUGGGGAGCAAACAGGAUUAGAUACCCCUGUAGUCCCUGUCUCUUAUAC